CCUCCCUCCUCGCGCUGGACGCUCCGCCGGCCGCCCGCCAGCCGCCGCAGGAACCCCUGGGUCAAGACCUGCUCCACUGUGGCUGAGAAAAGACUAAUAUUCCUCUGCCCGCCUCUGGGCAGAUACUGAAAAAAAAAACUGCUUCCGUAUAUUUUUCCUGCUGGGUGGUCAGAAGGAAAGGCCAGGAAGCCAGAGGCCUCCCAUUGAGAUGCUGCUCUGCAGAGAGCCGACCUCACGUGCGGCUGCCAGAGAAGACAGCACCUGUUCAUCUCUGCUCACUGUACCGCUGAGCUCAGCGCUGGCAGCCAAGAGGGGCCACGGGUGUCCCCCCGAAGCCACCGAGAGGGCUCCCCUGCAGGGAAACUGCACCUGAUGUGUCUGCACCACACUUAAGACGGCCUCUAAAAUGUCCUGGAAGCCAGUGUCCCGUAGAGCGGCUAAGUAGUUUUAACACCAGUGAGUAUGACAUUUGGUUAAAAGGGUGCAUGUGUGUAGGGGUGACUGUGUGUGUUCAAGCCUGUGUGUGAGGCAGGGAAAGGGGAUGAAAAAUGGAGGAAGGUUUCUGUUUAGACAUUUGCAAACGUUUGAUGGCACCAUGAAAAGACAAAGUAACAAAACCCAUAAAAUAGACCAUCUUUUGCUAUGAUUUUGUGUAUACGUGUACAGACGGAUGGUAAGCUUUUUUUUCCUGUAAGGGCUAUAAUAAAACUAUCAAGUACAA